GUGGAACAGCAAGCAAGGUGAGAAUGAAGACGGGAGAGGAGUGCAGGAAGUUUGAGGAGUUAAGAAGGUAUGAAAGAGUGAAUAGAUAGGAAAAUGUAUAGUAGCAUGGCUGUGAAAUAUUAUAGGCCAACUUAUGGCUAAUGAUCAGGAACUUAAAGUGAGAACAGGCAGAAUAACUGCAUGGUGUUGCAUAGCUACAUUCAGAUGUACAGCUGUAGGCUUGGAGUAAGCCUAAAGUUGGAUUUAACCAUGGUUGAGGUUUUGUCAAUGAGCAAUUUAGGAAAGUAUAGAUGAAAGUAAUUAUAAUGUAAGGAGGGAGAGGUAAGAACAAAGGUAAAGAUUUGG